UACCAGCACUCCGAGUGGUCGGGACGAUUAUUGGGCCUAAAGCAUCCGUAGCCGGUCAUGCAAGUCCUCCGUUAAAUCCACCUGCUUAACAGAUGGGCUGCGGAGGAUACUACAAGGCUAGGAGGCGGAAGAGGCAAGCGGUACUUAGUGGGUAGGGGUAAAAUCCUCUGAUCCAUUGAAGACCACCAGUGGCGAAGGCGGCUUGCCAAU
rnacentral:rRNA from 1 species